UAAGGAAUAUUGGUCAAUGGACGCAAGUCUGAACCAGCCAUGCCGCGUGAAGGAUGAAGGUCCUCUGGAUUGUAAACUUCUUUUAUCUGGGACGAAAACGGGAUUUUUAUCUCAAUUGACGGUACCAGAGGAAUAAGCACCGGCUAACUCCGUGCCAGCAGCCGCGGUAAUACGGAGGGUGCGAGCGUUCUCCGGAUUUACUGGGUUUAAAGGGUGCGUAGGCGGGCAUGUAAGUCAGUGGUGAAAUACCGGAGCUUAACUUCGGAACUGCCAUUGAUACUAUAUGUCUUGAAUAUUGUGGAGGUAAGCGGAAUAUGUCAUGUAGCGGUGAAAUGCAUAGAUAUGACAUAGAACACCGAUUGCGGAGGCAGCUUGCUACGCAAAUAUUGACGCUGAGGCACGAAAGCGUGGGGAUCAAACA
rnacentral:rRNA from 1 species